rnacentral:rRNA from 1 species
UACGUAGGGGGCAAGCGUUGUCCGGAUUUACUGGGCGUAAAGGAUGCGUAGGCGGACAUUUAAGUCAGAUGUGAAAUACCCGAGCUUAACUUGGGUGCUGCAUUUGAACUGGGUGUCUAGAGUGCAGGAGAGGUAAGUGGAAUUCCUAGUGUAGCGGUGAAAUGCGUAGAGAUUAGGAAGAACACCAGUGGCGAAGGCGACUUACUGGACUGUAACUGACGCUGAGGCAUGAAAGCGUGGGGAGCAAACAGG